UACGUAGGGUGCAAGCGUUAAUCGGAAUUACUGGGCGUAAAGCGUGCGCAGGCGGUGAUGUAAGACAGUUGUGAAAUCCCCGGGCUCAACCUGGGAACUGCAUCUGUGACUGCAUUGCUGGAGUACGGCAGAGGGGGAUGGAAUUCCGCGUGUAGCAGUGAAAUGCGUAGAUAUGCGGAGGAACACCGAUGGCGAAGGCAAUCCCCUGGGCCUGUACUGGCGCUCAUGCACGAAAGCGUGGGGGGCAAACAGG
rnacentral:rRNA from 1 species